rnacentral:misc_RNA from 1 species
UCUCCGUAGGUGAACCUGCGGAGGGAUCAUUACCGAGUGAGGGUCCUUGUGGCCCGACCUCCAACCCCCUGUCUUCCGACUCUGUUGCCUCGGGGGCGACCCGGCCCUCCUGGGCGUCGGGGCCCCCGGUGGUCCAUCUCAACCCUGCAUCUGUGCGUCUGAGUAAAUAUUUGAAUCAAUCAAAACUUUCAACAACGGAUCUCUUGGUUCUGGCAUCGAUGAAGAACGCAGC